rnacentral:lncRNA from 1 species
AUGCUUUUGUGGUUUAUAAAGUCUUUUUACAUACAAAUUAUAAUUCAAAAUGUGUUUUUUUUCCUGUCAGAAAAGCGCAUGGAUACAUUUGUGAGAGAAAAACUGGUCGAGUGCAGUCUUAUUGAGGCGUCUAACGGUCACCGUGGCCACCAGAUCCAGUCUGUGUCCAGAUCAGAGGGUCACUGCAGUCACCCGGAUCCAGUACGUAUCCAGACUAGAUGGUGGAUCAGCACCUAGAAAGGACCUCUACUGCCCUGAAAGACAGCGGAGACCAGGACAACUAGAGCCCCAGAUACAGAUCCCCUGUAAAGACCUUGUCUCAGAGGAGCACCAGGACAAGACCACAGGAAACAGAUGAUUCUUCUGCACAAUCUGACUUUGCUGCAGCCUGGAAUUGAACUACUGGUUUCGUCCGGUCAGAGGAGAACUGACCCCCAACUGAGCCUGGUUUCUCCCAAGGUUUUUUUCUCCAUUCUGUCAACGAUGGAGUUUUUGUUCCUUGUUUUUCUUUAGUUGGGGACAAUUAAUAUCAAGCGAUAUCAUCCACUUGAUUGCACAGAGGGACGAUACAUCACUGAAUCAAUGACGAAUUGACUUUAACUGAAAACUGAGUGUUUACUUUUGUCCCUUUGCAUUAUUACACACUAUUUUCCUAUUCAAUACUGUAAAGCUGCUAUGAUGCAGUAUUUGAUCGAUAUGACAGGCUUAUUACUCAUAAUACAUGGAAAAUACAGCUACAAACUGACUUUGUUUUUCCAUUUGAAAUUUGGCAGUCACUAAACUGAAACCGUAAUUUUUGUUCAGUGUUUUUGAAACAGUGUUUUUGUUCAAGAUUUGCAAUUGUGUUUGGAUUGUCACAAUUUGUCACAAUCCAAAUGUGGAAAACGCAAUUGAAAAUAUAAUUAGCAAUUCCUUUCGAAAAUUGUCCUUCCAUAGACAGGCUCUAUAAUGGAGUACACUGCUCUGAGGUGUAGAUCUUUGCUUCAGAGCUUAAGUGUUUGACAAUAGUUCACCCAAAAAUGAAAAUUGUCACUAAUUAUUCACCCUGGUCUGAAAGCUCUCGAAUAUCAACGAAAAUAUCUUAACUUGUGUUCUGAAGAUGAACGAAGGGCUUACGGGUUUGUAACGACAUGAAGUUGAGUAAUAAAUGACAGAAUUUUCAUUUUUGGGUGAACUAUAUGUUGAACUACCCUAAGCAGUGCACAUCUACCUACGUAGGAGUCUUUAUAUACUUGAUAUAAAUUUAAGGACAUCUUUAAAUGAUUUUACAUUUAAAUUUAAAAAUGUUAAUUGUCAAUGUCAUUUCACUGUGUAUUUAAAUAGCUAAAAAUCUCAAAAUGUAAUAGUUAAACAGCUAGACACAGGUCAUUCAGAAAUAAUUUUCUUAUUUAUUGCAACUGUAUUUCUGUGAUUUUUAUUUAUUUAUUUUGCAUUUGCUGGAAACAAAAAAAGGGAAAAUUCCAUGUUGUUUGUCAUUGCUAAAAAUUUUUUGAAUGUCAGAUGGCAUUAAAAAUAUUUUUUAACAGUCUAAAUAACCUGUAUUCUUCAUUAUUUAUUAAUCCAUGAUUGCUUUGUUAAGCAAAAGUGAAAUUAUGAGAAUAACCCAGCAAGAAUAACCCAGAAUCAUAAAAAUGCAAACCCACAAAUGGUAAAAAUGACUCUAUCUUGGGUUUUCUCAAUAACCCAGCAUGCUGGGUUAAAAUGUGUAAACCAGCAUGCUGGGUUACUUUAACCCAGCAUGUGUUCUGUCCAAUAUUUACCCUGUGCUGGGUUGCCAAUUGGGUUAUUUUUAACCCAGCCAUUUUUAGAGUGCACAUUUCACAUUUUUAUCACUAUCUGCAUGUCUCAUCCACGAGUUUGCAAUGUUGGAGAGCAAGCAUUUGGGAGUUUUGCGAAGCUGAGUGAGCAAUAAAGCUAUAGUGAGUCCCUUAAAAAAAUUAAAUAAAUGAGGAAUAAUACAAAAAUGGUCAAAUUCACUCAGUAUUAAUGAUCUAAUUCACAAAUAUCUCAAUUACAGUUGAGUAGAAAUUAGUUGUACUCAGAUGUGUUUUAUGCACUAAGACAGUCAUGUACAUUAUAGUCAAACACAUUUUUAUAUUGAAAUACUGAAGAUUUAUGUGCCACCCCAGACUGGUUGCUGGCCCCUCCCUGCUACCCCUAUGAAAACAUCCUGGCUCCGCCAAAUUAAUUCUUUAAAGUCGCGAAUUUUACCUAAGCGUGAAUGAAUUAUGUUUAUCUUAAUGAGCAAACAUUAGCUACAUCAGCGGACAGACGAGACAUUAUUAAUAUAUAAUAUCAUAUAUAUAAUAUAUAAUAGCAGUAGCAUGGCAGCAGACAGAAUAGUGUUUGAAGUCCUACUCAUGACUUCCCCUCAACGGCUCUUUUAAGAGCCACCCACAAACCUAUAAAGAACA